rnacentral:rRNA from 1 species
GGGGAAUAUUGGGCAAUGGGGGAAACCCUGACCCAGCAACGCCGCGUGAAGGACGAAGGCCUUCGGGUUGUAAACUUCUUUGAUCAGGGACGAAAAAAAUGACGGUACCUGAAGAACAAGCCACGGCUAACUACGUGCCAGCAGCCGCGGUAAUACGUAGGUGGCGAGCGUUAUCCGGAUUUACUGGGUGUAAAGGGCGUGCAGGCGGGUCCGCCAGUCGGGUGUGAAAUAACCGGGCGUAACCCGGGAGGGUCAUCCGAAACUGCGGAUCUUGAGUACUGGAGAGGAUAGUGGAAUUCCUAGUGUAGCGGUAAAAUGCGUAGAUAUUAGGAGGAACACCAGUGGCGAAGGCGGCUAUCUGGACAGUAACUGACGCUGAGGCGCGAAAGCGUGGGGAGCAAAC